UACGUAGGGUCCGAGCGUUGUCCGGAAUUAUUGGGCGUAAAGGGCUCGUAGGCGGUUUGUCGCGUCGGGAGUGAAAACACGGGGCUUAACCCCGUGCCUGCUUCCGAUACGGGCAGACUAGAGGUAUGCAGGGGAGAACGGAAUUCCUGGUGUAGCGGUGAAAUGCGCAGAUAUCAGGAGGAACACCGGUGGCGAAGGCGGUUCUCUGGGCCUGUACUGACGCUGAGGUGCGAAAGCGUGGGGAGCAAACAGG
rnacentral:rRNA from 1 species